GAAGGCCCCAAAUGCUGGGGUGAGAGGAACAACAAACUGACUAACUCAUGGCCGAGUUGGAGCCAGAGCCAACAACAGCUCGGCUGCCUUCAAACUCAUCUGUCAAACACAUGGUGUAUGGCUCCCCUGACAGAAAUGACUCCUAUAAGCUUCCUCAUACUCGUGCAUUCUUGGAAGUCUGAGACCGGAAAUGCCUACCCAGAUAUCUUAAGUCAGUAAAGGAAAACUCAUUUGCAAUGCUGAGAGGAGAAAGGAAAAGCAAUGAAUAGGAGAGCAUACACUGUGGGAAGGCUCAGCUGUACUGAGCCAGGCAAAGCAUCUGAUUACCCCACUGCUGUACACAUCAUGACCUGGGAUAAACCCCUGGGCCGUUGGCCUAAGAAAUAUGUUGCUUUUCAUCCUGUAUAACUGCAACUUUGUGCCGGCUCAUAUUAUGUUCUAGAGAGCUCAUGUACACCAUGGUGACCACAGUUAAUAAUACUGGAUUGUAUGCUUAAAAUUUGCUAAGAGAGUAGAUCUUAAGUCAUCACCAAAAAAAGUAACUGUAAGAUGAUGGAGAUGUGUUAAUUAGCUUGACAGUGGUAAUCACAAUAUAUGUGUAUAUCAAAACAUCACAUUAUACACCUUAAAUGUAUAUAAUAUUUGUCAAUUAUACCUCAGUAAAGCCAAAAAGAAAGAAAUAUAUUGCUUUUCACCCUCUGGCAAGUGGAGGGCCCUGAACAGAGCCCUCUAAA
rnacentral:sRNA from 1 species